rnacentral:lncRNA from 1 species
GGGUUCCCGCCCGCGCCUCUCCCGCCACACCUCCCUGCAAGCUGAGGGAGCCGGCUCCUGCCUUGGCCAGGCUAGAAAGGGGCUCCCACAGUGCAGGGGCGGGCUGAAGGGCUCCUCAAGUGCCACCAAAGUGGGAGCCCAGGCAGAGGAGGUGCCGAGAGCGAGCGAGGGCUGCGAGGACUGCCAGCAGCUGUCACCUCUCGUUACCAUCACUCCUAGUGACCAUUUCGGAUAAUCCACCUUGCCUCAUCAAACCAGAAAACAAUUCAAACCUGGCCUCCUUCUAACUGGAAGCCACAUUUUAAGAACUUAUUGUGAAGAACUGGAAAGCCUCCAAUAGGACCCAUUAUACAGGCUGCCUUUCCAGCUCUCCAAUCAUACUUCCAAGAAAACUGCUCACUCUCAGAACCAAGGUUCAAGUUGUACAUUGGGAUUUGGGUAGAGCACGGGACCUGGCAUGGAGCAGCAUUCAAAAUAUUGGGUAGAAGGAAAAAGGAAGAAAGAAGGGAAGGACAGGGAAGCAAGGAAAUAAAGGAAAUCAGGCUAUAUAUACAGUGAUGCCCAUCUACCCCUGAGAUCUAAAAAUCUAAGAUGAAAACGAGCACACAGUCUUGGCAGCAUUGGGGUAACAGACUAUGAAAGAAGAAAUCAGAUUGGAAAAUUCAGUAUAUCAAUGAAGAAAAUAAUCACUCAAGGAGAGGAAUAAACAGCAAAACAAUCUAUAUAUUUAAUUAUAGAUACAA